GCGCUCAGGUAGAGUGGGCUUGUCUGGACAUGUUGGGGUGUAGUUGAUCAGAUGCACGUCCUUCUAUCGCAAGUUCCGCCGCCUGAUAUCGCCCGACGGCAAGUUUUGUCGACUGAUGUCCUCCGACCGCAUGUCCUACGGCUGCGUGUCCUCCUCACUUUCUUCCAGCACUAACUAGGAUUUGGAUGCAGUGUAAGGAGUGCAAGUUCUCGCACCCUAAUCAGGAUAUUCUCCUCAAGCAUUACCGACUUUGCCACUACCGGGGACGCUUCUGGCCACUGCCGUGCCUGUACACUGACUGCUGCUGCACUUUCAAAACAAGCGAUAUAUGCUGAGUUUUUUUGAAUCACUCAAGUGGAUCUAAAGAAGACAUUCUUCACAUCUUUGGAUGCACACGCCUCAAACCUGAUAAAGCUUUACAGAACACGUAGCGGGACACUAGGAAAGGACUUAAAGGCCCUAUUUGACAACCUUGAUGAACAGACAACCAAUGUGCUUGCACAAAGGAAGGCCACAGCUCUCCGAGGUCUACCUCUCUAUUUGAGGGAGAAUCCAGGCAACGUCCUGAAGACAUGUCUGACUCGGAGGAAACGUCCGUUGCAGGUGUUCAACUUGGCAUAGUCACCAUUGUUGAAGAUGAUGUUGGGAGAGCUCACUCAAUGCCCAGAACAAUCAACAUUGCCCUUG